rnacentral:rRNA from 1 species
UCCCGACGACCCGAGUAGCAUUCGACAUUAUUGGGUCUAAAACAUCCGUAGCUGGUUUCGUAAGUUUUGUGUUAAAUUAUUGGACUCAAUCCAAUAUCUGCGCAAAAUACUGCGAGGCUGGAGACUGGGAGAUGUAACAAGUACGUUCGAGGUAAUGGUAAAAUAUUCUAAUCUCGUGCGGACUAACAAUCGGCGAAGGCAUGUUACAAGAACAGUUCUGACGGUGAGGGAUGAAAGCCAGGGGCGCAAAACG